rnacentral:rRNA from 2 species
GGCCUAACACAUGCAAGGUCGAACGGGAUUAAGGGGCUUGCCUCUUAAUUUAGUGGCGCACGGGUGAGUAACGCGUGGAUAACCUGCCCUGGUAUCCGGGAUAACAUCUCGAAAGGGGUGCUAAUACGGGAUAAGCCCACGGGGUCUUCGGACCUUGCGGGAAAAGGUGGCCUCUGAAUAUGCUGCCGUAUCAGGAUGGGUCCGCGUACCAUUAGCUAGUUGGUAGUGUAAUGGACUACCAAGGCUACGAUGGUUAGCUGGUCUGAGAGGAUGAUCAGCCACACUGGAACUGAGACACGGUCCAGACUCCUACGGGAGGCAGCAGUGGGGAAUUUUGCGCAAUGGGGGAAACCCUGACGCAGCAACGCCGCGUGAGUGAUGAAGGCCUUCGGGUCGUAAAGCUCUGUCAGAGGGAAAGAAGUGUAGCAUGGUUAAUACCCAUACUACUUGACGGUACCCUCAAAGGAAGCACCGGCUAACUCCGUGCCAGCAGCCGCGGUAAUAC